GACGAACGCUGGCGGCGUGCCUAACACAUGCAAGUCGAACGGGGCACCUUCGGGUGCUUAGUGGCGAACGGGUGAGUAACGCGUGAGAAACCUGCCUUUCAGUGGGGGACAACAGUUGGAAACGACUGCUAAUACCGCAUAAUGUUAUUUGGGGGCAUCCCUGAAUAACCAAAGCUUUAUGUGCUGAAAGAUGGUCUCGCGUCUGAUUAGCUAGAUGGCGGGGUAACGGCCCACCAUGGCGACGAUCAGUAGCCGGUCUGAGAGGAUGAACGGCCACAUUGGGACUGAGAUACGGCCCAGACUCCUACGGGAGGCAGCAGUGGGGAAUAUUGGGCAAUGGGGGAAACCCUGACCCAGCAACACCGCGUGAAGGAAGAAGGCCUUCGGGUUGUAAACUUCUUUUAGCAGGGACGAAGAACGUGACGGUACCUGCAGAAAAAGCAACGGCUAACUACGUGCCAGCCGCCGCAGUAAUAC
rnacentral:rRNA from 1 species